AUUGAACGCUGGCGGCAGGCCUAACACAUGCAAGUCGAACGGUAACAGGAAGAAUCUUGCUUCUUUGCUGACGAGUGGCGGACGGGUGAGUAAUGUCUGGGAAACUGCCUGAUGGAGGGGGAUAACUACUGGAAACGGUAGCUAAUACCGCAUAACGUCGCAAGACCAAAGAGGGGGACCUUCGGGCCUCUUGCCUUCUGAUGUGCCCCGAGGGGAUUAGCUAGUAGGUGGGGUAACGGCUCACCUAGGCUACGAUCCCUAGCUGGUAUGAGAGGAUGACCAGCCACACUGGAACUGAGACACGGUCCAGACUCCUACGGGAGGCAGCAGUGGGGAAUAUUGCACAAUGGGGGAAAGAAUGAUGAAGAAAGGCCGCGUGUAUGAAGAAGGCCUUCGGGUUGUAAAGUACUUUAAGCGGGGAGGAAGGGAGUAAAGUUAAUACCUUUGCUGAUUGACGUUACCAGAAGAAGAAGCACCGGCUAACUCCGUG
rnacentral:rRNA from 1 species